UACGUAGGGUGCGAGCGUUGUCCGGAAUUAUUGGGCGUAAAGAGCUUGUAGGCGGUUUGUCGCGUCUGCCGUGAAAAUUCGAGGCUCAACCUCGAACUUGCGGUGGGUACGGGCAGACUAGAGUGUGGUAGGGGAGACUGGAAUUCCUGGUGUAGCGGUGAAAUGCACAGAUAUCAGGAGGAACACCGAUGGCGAAGGCAGGUCUCUGGGCCACUACUGACGCUGAGAAGCGAAAGCAUGGGGAGCGAACAGG
rnacentral:rRNA from 1 species